CCACUGGAAGAGCAAUUGACAUUCUAAAUG
rnacentral:piRNA from 1 species